CACUAUCGUUAACUGAAUACAUAGGUUAACGAGGCGAACCGGGGGAACUGAAACAUCUAAGUACCCCGAGGAAAAGAAAUCAACCGAGAUUCCCCCAGUAGCGGCGAGCGAACGGGGAGCAGCCCAGAGUCUGAAUCAGCUUGUGUGUUAGUGGAACGGUCUGGAAAGUCCGACGGUACAGGGUGAUAGUCCCGUACACCAAAAUGCACAGGCUGUGAACUCGAAGAGUAGGGCGGGACACGUGGUAUCCUGUCUGAAUAUGGGGGGACCAUCCUCCAAGGCUAAAUACUCCUGACUGACCGAUAGUGAACCAGUACCGUGAGGGAAAGGCGAAAAGAACCCCGGCGAGGGGAGUGAAAAAGAACCUGAAACCGUGUACGUACAAGCAGUGGGAGCACCUUCGGGUGUGACUGCGUACCUUUUGUAUAAUGGGUCAGCGACUUAUAUUCUGUAGCAAGGUUAACCGUAUAGGGGAGCCGCAGGGAAACCGAGUCUUAACUGGGCGUUAAGUUGCAGGGUAUAGACCCGAAACCCGGUGAUCUAGCCAUGGGCAGGUUGAAGGUUGGGUAACACUAACUGGAGGACCGAACCGACUAAUGUUGAAAAAUUAGCGGAUGACUUGUGGCUGGGGGUGAAAGGCCAAUCAAACCGGGAGAUAGCUGGUUCUCCCCGAAAGCUAUUUAGGUAGCGCCUCGUGAACUCAUCUUCGGGGGUAGAGCACUGUUUCGGCUAGGGGGUCAUCCCGACUUACCAACCCGAUGCAAACUACGAAUACCGAAGAAUGUUAUCACGGGAGACACACGGCGGGUGCUAACGUCCGUCGUGAAGAGGGAAACAACCCAGACCGCCAGCUAAGGUCCCAAAGUCAUGGUUAAGUGGGAAACGAUGUGGGAAGGCACAGACAGCCAGGAUGUUGGCUUAGAAGCAGCCAUCAUUUAAAGAAAGCGUAAUAGCUCACUGGUCGAGUCGGCCUGCGCGGAAGAUGUAACGGGGCUAAACCAUGCACCGAAGCUGCGGCAGCGACACUAUGUGUUGUUGGGUAGGGGAGCGUUCUGUAAGCCUGCGAAGGUGACCUGUGAGGGUUGCUGGAGGUAUCAGAAGUGCGAAUGCUGACAUAAGUAACGAUAAAGCGGGUGAAAAGCCCGCUCGCCGGAAGACCAAGGGUUCCUGUCCAACGUUAAUCGGGGCAGGGUGAGUCGACCCCUAAGGCGAGGCCGAAAGGCGUAGUCGAUGGGAAACAGGUUAAUAUUCCUGUACUUGGUGUUACUGCGAAGGGGGGACGGAGAAGGCUAUGUUAGCCGGGCGACGGUUGUCCCGGUUUAAGCAUGUAGGCUGGUUGUCCAGGCAAAUCCGGAUAAUCAAGGCUGAGGUGUGAUGACGAGGCACUACGGUGCUGAAGUAACAAAUGCCCUGCUUCCAGGAAAAGCCUCUAAGCAUCAGGUAACAUUAAAUCGUACCCCAAACCGACACAGGUGGUCAGGUAGAGAAUACCAAGGCGCUUGAGAGAACUCGGGUGAAGGAACUAGGCAAAAUGGUGCCGUAACUUCGGGAGAAGGCACGCUGGUGUGUAGGUGAAGUCCCUGCGGAUGGAGCUGAGACCAGUCGAAGAUACCAGCUGGCUGCAACUGUUUAUUAAAAACACAGCACUGUGCAAACACGAAAGUGGACGUAUACGGUGUGACGCCUGCCCGGUGCCGGAAGGUUAAUUGAUGGGGUUAUCCGUAAGGAGAAGCUCUUGAUCGAAGCCCCGGUAAACGGCGGCCGUAACUAUAACGGUCCUAAGGUAGCGAAAUUCCUUGUCGGGUAAGUUCCGACCUGCACGAAUGGCGUAAUGAUGGCCAGGCUGUCUCCACCCGAGACUCAGUGAAAUUGAACUCGCUGUGAAGAUGCAGUGUACCCGCGGCAAGACGGAAAGACCCCGUGAACCUUUACUAUAGCUUGACACUGAACAUUGAGCCUUGAUGUGUAGGAUAGGUGGGAGGCUUUGAAGCGUGGACGCCAGUCUGCGUGGAGCCAACCUUGAAAUACCACCCUUUAAUGUUUGAUGUUCUAACGUUGGCCCCUGACCGGGGUUGCGGACAGUGUCUGGUGGGUAGUUUGACUGGGGCGGUCUCCUCCCAAAGCGUAACGGAGGAGCACGAAGGUUAGCUAAUCCUGGUCGGACAUCAGGAGGUUAGUGCAAUGGCAUAAGCUAGCUUGACUGCGAGCGUGACGGCGCGAGCAGGUGCGAAAGCAGGUCAUAGUGAUCCGGUGGUUCUGAAUGGAAGGGCCAUCGCUCAACGGAUAAAAGGUACUCCGGGGAUAACAGGCUGAUACCGCCCAAGAGUUCAUAUCGACGGCGGUGUUUGGCACCUCGAUGUCGGCUCAUCACAUCCUGGGGCUGAAGUAGGUCCCAAGGGUAUGGCUGUUCGCCAUUUAAAGUGGUACGCGAGCUGGGUUUAGAACGUCGUGAGACAGUUCGGUCCCUAUCUGCCGUGGGCGCUGGAGAAUUGAGGGGGGCUGCUCCUAGUACGAGAGGACCGGAGUGGACGCAUCACUGGUGUUCGGGUUGUCAUGCCAAUGGCACUGCCCGGUAGCUAAAUGCGGAAGAGAUAAGUGCUGAAAGCAUCUAAGCACGAAACUUGCCCCGAGAUGAGUUCUCCCUGAGACUUUAAGUCUCCUGAAGGAACGUU
rnacentral:rRNA from 1 species